rnacentral:rRNA from 1 species
CCUACGGGCGGCAGCAGUGGGGAAUAUUGGACAAUGGGGGGAACCCUGAUCCAGCCAUGCCGCGUGUGUGAAGAAGGCCCUCGGGUGGUAAAGCACUUUCAGUGAGGAAGAACGCCUGGUGGUUAAUACCCAUCAGGAAAGACAUCACUCACAGAAGAAGCACCGGCUAACUCCGUGCCAGCAGCCGCGGUAAUACGGAGGGUGCGAGCGUUAAUCGGAAUUACUGGGCGUAAAGCGCGCGUAGGUGGCUUGAUAAGCCGGUUGUGAAAGCCCCGGGCUCAACCUGGGAACGGCAUCCGGAACUGUCAAGCUAGAGUGCAGGAGAGGAAGGUAGAAUUCCCGGUGUAGCGGUGAAAUGCGUAGAGAUCGGGAGGAAUACCAGUGGCGAAGGCGGCCUUCUGGACUGACACUGACACUGAGGUGCGAAAGCGUGGGUAGCAAACAGGAUUAGAUACCCCUGUAGUC